rnacentral:rRNA from 1 species
UCGUGUCGUGAGAUGUUGGGUUAAGUCCCGCAACGAGCGCAACCCUUGUCUUUAGUUGCCAGCACUUUCAGGUGGGCACUCUAGAGAGACUGCCGGUGACAAGCCGGAGGAAGGUGGGGAUGACGUCAAGUCCUCAUGGCCCUUAUGUCCUGGGCUACACACGUGCUACAAUGGCGGUGACAGUGGGAAGCUACAUGGUGACAUGGUGCUGAUCUCUAAAAGCCGUCUCAGUUCGGAUUGUACUCUGCAACUCGAGUACAUGAAGGUGGAAUCGCUAGUAAUCGCGGAUCAGCAUGCCGCGGUGAAUACGUUUCCCGGGAA